rfam:Nelumbo nucifera unplaced genomic scaffold scaffold00230, whole genome shotgun sequence
AUACCUUUCUCGGCCUUUUGGCUAAGAUCAAGUGUAGUAUCUGUUCUUAUCAGUUUAAUAUCUGAUACGUGGGCCAUCGGCCCACAUGAUAUUAAAUUAAUUUUUUUUGGGGAAAGGCCCACCUCAUUAGCUUGCUACUGGGGCCUUCAAGCAUCGCCCGUGCGUUGCACUACUACACGGGCCUGGUGCACCCCCA